CGGAACGUGGCGCAGCCCGGUAGCGUACCUGAAUGGGGUUCAGGUGGUCGGGGGUUCAAAUCCCCCCGUUCCGACAA
rnacentral:tRNA from 1 species